AUUGCUUCUCAGCCUUUUGACUAAGAUCAAGUGCAGUAUCUGUUCUUACUAGUUUCUUCCUUUCUAAUUCCUUUUCCCCAUUCUAUUUUUGGUUAGAUAGGACUUUCUGUAUAAGGCUGCAUAGAAGCGGUGACCCUCA
rnacentral:snRNA from 1 species